rnacentral:sRNA from 1 species
GUAUGUCCUUAACCUUGGCACAACAAAUCUCUAAAUCGAUUGAGACCUGUCUCAGAUACUUUUUGGUUUAUAAGAUGGGGGCUGAAAUUAAAGAGAAAGCUCCUCACUCAGCUCACAAAGGAGCAGAAUGGGAAGAGGACUUAGUGAGAAUUCCCUGAACACAGGAGAAAACCGAAGCCCAGAGAGUGGAUGGCCAAGUCCAAGGCCACAUAGCCAAGUGCAUCUGAGCAGCGCAGGAUCCAGGUUUCCUGCCCCAGUGCUGUUUCUGCAGCCCGUGCCACCUGUUUUCAUACUAUCUCGGUUCACCAUCCAGCUACACACCUGCAAUCAGAAACAGAAAGUCUGAGAGUGUGUGUGGAGCCAAAGAGGGGACAGCAGUGGUGCGGCCAGUUUCAUGUCUUGUGAUUUAUUUUCUCCCUUUCUUUUUGGACUUUAAUCUUAAGUGGACAGCAGUUUGGAACAGUGCCAGCACCUUGUUGGAUUGUGCUGUUUGGGAGAGGUGACACAGAGUAUUUUAAAAGAGCAGGUUAAGAACUUUUCAUAAAGAAUCAAUUGAGAAAAAAUAAAAUAGAAACAGAAUGUCCCACAUUUGGGCUGAGCACCAAACAAAUUUUUUUUUUUUUUUUUUGAGACUGAGUCUUGCUGUGUCACUCAGGCUGGAAUGCAGUGGUGCGAUCUCGGCUCACUGCAGCCUUCGCCUCCCAGGUUCAAGUGAUUCUUCUGCCUCAGCCUCCCAAGUAGCUGGGAUUACAGGUGCCCACCACCACGCCAGGCUAAUUUUUGUAUUUUUAGUAGAGACGGGGUUUCACCAUGUUGACCAGGCUGGUCUUGAACUCCUGACCAAGUGAUCCACCUGCUUCGGCCACCCAAAGUGCUGGGAUUAUAGGCAUGAGCCACCGCACCUGGCCUCAAACAAGCUUUUUAAUUGCAUUCAGAAGUGCACCAACUAGGCACAGACCUCUGGCAUGGAAACAGAAUGGGAGGUUCUUGGUGUCUGGCCUGGUCUUGCAGAAAUCAGGGAGUUGCCGGGACCAGGCAGCCACUGUGCAUCAGAUAGGAGUUUCAGCAGCAGGCAACAGAAAGCCUGCCAAUGUAGCUGAAAUAAGAAGGGCUUAUUUUUAUCCCUGAACAGAAGCUUCCAGCACUGGUUCAUCAGGUCAGGGCACUGAGCUGGCAUCCCCAUUUAUACAGUUUUCCUUUCCUUCACCUUUGUAAGAUGCCUGGCACAGCUCUGAGCAUCAAAUAUCUGUGCCAUGUGGGAGCACACGAGGGGACAAGUGGGGAAUAGGGUCUCCUCCGUCCUCUGUCCCCAGGCUGGCUUCUCUCAUGGUAGAAGGACCCCCACAGCACCAGGCCUCAUAACUACCCUGCUGGUAAACUGCAGGUGCUGUCAAGGCUUCCUGCCUUCGUAUAUGAAAUGUUCCUUGACAGCUGGACUGCUGUUUACCGCACGCACCGCUCUGCUGCCUCUUGGUUGCACCAGUGAGCUAUUGCUCCAUGACAAACCACACCGAAAUGUAGCAAGUACUUAUUGUUGCCCACAUGUCUCAAGUCAGUUGAGUGUUUCUGCCAAUCGGGGCCUGGCUUGGCCCACCUUGGCUGAGCUUGCUCUGGUGCUAGGGUCAGCUAGACAGGUUGGCAGGAGACCAGCUGCUCUAGAAGAGCCUGGACAGGAUGAAUUGGUUCUCCUUCCACGUGCAUCUUGCAUCCCUCCAGCUAAGUAUUUGAACCCAGGUCUCAUCUGACUCCAAACGCACCAAGAAGAUGGAGCCUAGAGUGACACAGAGGAAGAGGCCCCUGGAUGGAUGCAUGGGGAAGGUUAGAAGCAAGGCACAAGUCAUACCUACAUUCAAGGAGAGGAGACCAUGCAAAGGAUAAACUUCAGAGAGACAACAGAUUUACAUCCCAGACACAUUCACACUGGGCAAAGAGCAGCUGCCAUUGCAGAUUUGAGUCACGUCCUUUUUUCCCUCCUUCUCCUUCUUGGAGUUACAGCAGAAGCUGGGGAGGUGAGAGUGCAGAAAGGACAUGGAUGAAGCAGAGAGGCAUGUGCCUGUCUCAUUCGCCUCUGGAUCUGCUGCAUCCAGGACCAUGUCAGCACAAAGUGGGAGCCCGAUAAAUAUUUAUUGAAGAAAUGAAAGGUGACAAAAGGCAGAAGGAGGGAGACCCCCAAAAGAGUAUGAACCCAGCAUCACGGUGCACUUGUGGCAGUUGGCAGUGCACACCCGGGAGCCACUCUCCUCUGGCCAGAUGCCCUUCUCCCAGCUGCCCGCCGUGUGGCAGCUCUACCCUGGGAAGAAGUACCGAGCAGCGGAUUCCAGUUUCUGGGAAAUAGCAGACCAUGGCCAGAUCGACUCCAUGGAGCAGCUGGUCCUAACAUAUCAGCCAGAGAGGAAAGACUGACAUUGGGAGUGGCUGGCCCUGCUGGCCCUGCCUCUUCUGGCCUGGUGUCUCCUCAUGCCCCCUCAGUGAGGAUCUUCAUGUACCUGCUCUUCUGUUUGCACACCCAGCAUAGCCUCCUUGCGGGCAGAAGGCAGUGGAGCCCCUGCACGCUCAGCUUCUCUCAUUUUCCUUAGUUAUCAGUCCUGUCCUGUCCCGCUCGGAUCUGCACUUAGGGCAACUGGCCUGGAUGGGCUUCACUAGGGGCCCUGUCUGUGCACUGAGCCAGUUUCCUCUGCUGGCUGCAAGCUGUGGGUUCUCUUUCUCCUCUGUGCCCCUCAUGCUGAUCUUCUAGAUGCCACUCCCAAAUCCCCUUCAUACCCACCAGGAUGUGUGCCCAGCCAGGCCUCCAGCACCCCCAGUACAGCUCAUGAUUGGAAACUCACCAUCAGCAGGCAGUGGCUCGGUUUAAGAGAUGGCCGCAGAGGGAGCCCAGUCUGGAUGUGGACUUGGAUGCCCUGUGGGUAUCAGUUCCGCUGACACUUUGGCCCGAAAUAGAUCCAGUGCUGAGCAAGCAAUGUACGCCGGAGCCUCAGUGAGCCCAUCUGCACAGUGGGGAGCAUGGAGGGAUGGGUUUGGCCUGUGCUUCUGCUUGUUCAGUCCUUCAGCUCAUGGAAGGGAUGCUAGUCCAUGAAGCUGACCUCACAGUACUGGUUAAUUAAACUUUAUUGCUCACUGUC